GAAUAUUGGCCAAUGGGCGAAAGCCUGAUCCAGCCAUGCCGCGUGUGUGAAGCAUGUCUUCGGAUUGUAAAGCCCUUUUCGUUGGGAGGUAGGGCAGUAAGCGAAUACCUUGCUGUUUUGACGUUACCGACAGAAUAAGCACCGGCUAACUCUGUGCCUGCAGCCGCGGUACUACAGAGGGUGCAAGCCUUACUCGGAAUUACUGGGCGUAAAGCGCGCGGAGGUGGUUCGUUAAGUUGGAUGUGAAAUCCCCGGGCUCAACCUGGGAACUGCAUCCAAAACUGGCGAGCUAGAGUAGGGCAGAGGGUGGUGGAAUUUCCUGUGUAGCGGUGAAAUGCGUAGAUAUAGGAAGGAACACCAGUGGCGAAGGCGACCACCUGGGCUCAUACUGACACUGAGGUGCGAAAGCGUGGGGAGCAAACA
rnacentral:rRNA from 1 species